rnacentral:misc_RNA from 1 species
AAAAGAAAGCAGAAGAGACUACUUCUGAAUUCUUACUACCCUCAUUUUUCCCAUUCUAACAAACCUAUUACCACAUUAUCAUGAUCUCCAAACAAAAAUUCCAAAAAAUUUCUAAAAAAAAAAAAAAAAAAAGUCUCAGCUGCUUCAAUUUCACAAUCUCUCAUUCUGAAUCACUCUCCAUGCUUCCCAUGGCCUUCAGUCCUCUCGGUCUCUUCUUAGUGCUCUUCUUCUCCCUCACUUCAUACCUCUCUUGGCACAUAUCAGUCAACCAAGCCCCAGGGCUCACUAAAAGUAAGCUUCUUUGGAUAAUCUUGGC